rnacentral:rRNA from 1 species
UUUUUUUUUAAAACAUGUUCUUUGGAUUAUUUAUAAGGUUGGCCCUGCUCAAUGAUAUUUUAAUAGCCGCGGUAUUAUAACUGUGCAAAGGUAGCAUAAUAAUUAGUCUUUUAAUUGAGGUCUGGAAUGAAUGGGUUGACGAAAUAUUAACUUUAUUUAGUUUAUUAUUUUGAAUUUAAUAAUUUAGUUAAAAAGCUUAAAUUUUAAAGAGGGACGAUAAGACCCUAUAGAUCUUUAUUUUUUUUUUGUUAUUUUUUUUAUUUUUUAUUUUAAUAAUUUUAAAAAAUUUUGCUGGGGUGGUAGUUAAAAUAUUAAACUUUAAUUUUUCUUUACUUUAAUUUUUGGUUAAUUUGAUCCUUUUGGAUAUAAAGAUAAAGAUACCUUAGGGAUAACAGCGUUAUAUAUUUGGAGAGUUCAAAUUGAUAAAUAUGUUUGCGACCUCGAUGUUGGAUUAAAUUUAAUUAUGGGGUAGGUUUCAUAAUAUUAGGUCUGUUCGACCUUUAAAAUUUUACAUGAUCUGUUUU